UACCACAGACGAAUUUAUACAGACGUAAGAGUGCGGUACAAACCACUAAAAAUUUUCGGUACCAUGUUUUCUUCUUUUUCCUUAUGCAGAAGUUCACCGAGGGAGCUAGUGAUUACCAUUUUGCGAUGGUUUUUUACGCAUCGGUUCACCCCUAUCACAAGAUUUUGACAGCUUUUCGCCGCCUUCGCCGUCUUUCGCCGCGCCUUCGCCGCACAAAAACUCGUUUUGUUUUUGUUUUGGCGUUUACGUAUUUAUUAGUGCGCGGUCCGAAAGUGGAAUCUGUUUCGGUCGUUUCGGUGGAUGCAAUCCGUUGUGACGGUUCUUGAAGGAUGAAUUCCUCAAUGACAAGAAUGUGAUGAUUCUCACCGGAUGUGCUCACAAGGGAUUGUUGAAAAUCAUAGGCGGGGUAUGGAGCAAACGAUUCGGCUUAUUUAAUCGUAGCUGGAUUCAACAAGCGCGAGAACCGAUACUACGCUGAGCUGGAACCGGAAGUUUAUGGAGACGUCAAGUUCUUGCAGGAAGGAGAGGAAGAUUUAAGUUCCACCGAGGAUCAUUUGUGCAAAAAGCAACCAUAAAACGAGUGCUCGUCAUAGCUUCCGAUCGAGGUUCGGACAUUUACGCAGAUGGAGUCUGAAAUUCUACUCUACAGAAGCACACUGCCACUUAACUGCGAUUUGCAUUCAUGCAAGGACAUCCUGGCCCUUUACGGUACCAUCGAUACUGGUCUAAUUCUGGAUGCAGUGAGGGAUUUAGUGUCCCAUAUUCGGGACCAACCAACUGGGGCUGUGCUGUUGAGGAGAAUCGCAAGCUUUAUUAGUGCAUCAUCAAUUUGCUGCACAUUUUGGCGACAUUAAAGGGCUUCAGGAUUUUCGUCGGCUUCCCGCUGUUCCUGCCAACCAUCGCUGAUAACUCUCCGGGGAGUAAACAUGCUGCUUGACGACCAUCAUUUCUUGGGGAACUACCUCCAUCGCUAAAUAAAGUGUCGUCACAGAGAAAGAGACGUAACAAUUAGAACAAAUUUCAUAGAAAACAUCGUUACGAAAACACAACCGCCAAAUACUAAUCGUACUGUAAUUGGCCGGACCACCACUAGGUGGCGGUAGGCAAACAGGAACAGAAACGAUACCAGC